ensembl:lncRNA novel transcript
GUUCCCCUCCCCCAUCCCCGGUCUGCAGAUUCUGCCUAAGGAGGGUGCAGAGUGGACACUCCCAGGUGUCCAAGCCGGCGAGCUCGGGUCCCGCAGAACCGGCGGCCCUGGAGACGCCCCGAGGGCAGCCCCGCUGCAGCCUUGCUCGGGUCCCCUAGCCCGGCGCCUCCGCAAACCAACCCACCGCGGGCCGCCGAGCCCCGCUCCGGGAUCCGCCGGCUGCCUCCAUCCCAGAAGAGUGCGCAGAGAAUUAAAUCUAGAUAUUUACAUGU